rnacentral:rRNA from 1 species
UACGUAGAGUGCAAGCGUUGUCCGGAAUUAUUGGGCGUAAAGAGCUCGUAGGCGGCUUGUCGCGUCGACUGUGAAAUCCCGCGGCUCAACUGCGGGUCUGCAGUCGAUACGGGCAGGCUAGAGUUCGGUAGGGGAGACUGGAAUUCCUGGUGUAGCGGUGAAAUGCGCAGAUAUCAGGAGGAACACCGGUGGCGAAGGCGGGUCUCUGGGCCGAUACUGACGCUGAGGAGCGAAAGCGUGGGGAGCGAACAGG